UACGGAGGAUCCAAGCGUUAUCCGGAAUGCUUGGGCUUAAAGGGUCCGUAGGCGGGACAAUAAGUCAGUGGUGAAAGUCUGCAGCUUAACUGUAGAACUGCCAUUGAUACUGUUGUCCUUGAGUAAUUAUGAAGUGGUUAGAAUAUGUAGUGUAGCGGUGAAAUGCAUAGAUAUUACAUAGAAUACCGAUUGCGAAGGCAGGUCACUAAUAAUGUACUGACGCUGAGGGACGAAAGCGUAGGUAGCGAACAGG
rnacentral:misc_RNA from 1 species